rnacentral:rRNA from 1 species
GACGAACGCUGGCGGCGUGCUUAACACAUGCAAGUCGAACGGAAAGGCCCUGCUUUUGUGGGGUGCUCGAGUGGCGAACGGGUGAGUAACACGUGAGUAACCUGCCCUUGACUUUGGGAUAACUUCAGGAAACUGGGGCUAAUACCGGAUAGGAGCUCCUGCUGCAUGGUGGGGGUUGGAAAGUUUCGGCGGUUGGGGAUGGACUCGCGGCUUAUCAGCUUGUUGGUGGGGUAGUGGCUUACCAAGGCUUUGACGGGUAGCCGGCCUGAGAGGGUGACCGGCCACAUUGGGACUGAGAUACGGCCCAGACUCCUACGGGAGGCAGCAGUGGGGAAUAUUGCACAAUGGGCGGAAGCCUGAUGCAGCAACGCCGCGUGUGGGAUGACGGCCUUCGGGUUGUAAACCGCUUUCGCCUAUGACGAAGCGUGAGUGACGGUAAUGGGUAAAGAGGCACCGGCUAACUACGUG